rnacentral:lncRNA from 1 species
CAGGACCCUCAGCUGUUCUUCCAGGCCUAUGCGACAGCUGAAGGGUAUACAGAGGAGGGGACUUAGGGGGUCCAGGCUGCGCUGAUCACACCCUCAUAGCUGCACUCUAGACUUAGGCUCCCACCCCUCCCCCAUCCCCCAGACGCUCUGCACUAUUUUGGGUGGUGUAGACCCCGCCCCCACUCUGACUGAGUCCUGGCUCUCCCUCUGAAGCUGGAGGGGUCGCCUUGAUCUUGUUGGGGCUACACUUGGGAUCAGGGCUACUAGUCGCAACAGCAGUCAUGUCGGGCCGCACAGUGCCACACGCCCACCCAGCCACUGCCGAGUACGAAUUUGCCAACCCUAGCCGCCUGGGCGAGCAGCGCUUCGGAGAAGGUAUGGCUCAGAUGCUUCCUACCCCCACCUCCGGAAAUUCUGGGCUCACUGCCCAGCUUCACUGGCCUCCACUCUACCUGGGGCUUAAGUGAACUCCUGAGAUGUGGACCCCUGGCGGGUCAGAGCUGCUCUCUCCCAUGAUGGCAUCCUUAACUUGGAGGCACCGCGGGGUGGCCGGCAUCUGGACACGGAAGUCAAUGAGGUCUACAUCUCCCUGCUUCCUGCACCUCCUGACCCCGAGGAAGAGGAAGAG